GAUGAACGCUGGCGGCGUGCCUAAUACAUGCAAGUCGAGCGAACAGACGAGGAGCUUGCUCCUCUGACGUUAGCGGCGGACGGGUGAGUAUCACGUGGAUAACCUACCUAUAAGACUGGGAUAACUUCGGGAAACCGGAGCUAAUACCGGAUAAUAUAUUGAACCGCAUGGUUCAAUAGUGAAAGACGGUUUUGCUGUCACUUAUAGAUGGAUCCGCGCCGCAUUAGCUAGUUGGUAAGGUAACGGCUUACCAAGGCAACGAUGCGUAGCCGACCUGAGAGGGUGAUCGGCCACACUGGAACUGAGACACGGUCCAGACUCCUACGGGAGGCAGCAGUAGGGAAUCUUCCGCAAUGGGCGAAAGCUUGACGGAGCAACGCCGCGUGAGUGAUGAAGGUCUUCGGAUCGUAAAACUCUGUUAUUAGGGAAGAACAAAUGUGUAAGUAACUAUGCACGUCUUGACGGCACCUAAUCAGAAAGCCACGGCUAACUACGUG
rnacentral:rRNA from 1 species